CGUGCCUAAUACAUGCAAGUCGACGCGAGCUUGCCUAGAUGAAUUUGGUGCUUGCACCARAUGAAACUAGAUACAAGCGAGCGGCGGACGGGUGAGUAACACGUGGGUAACCUGCCCAAGAGACUGGGAUAACACCUGGAAACAGAUGCUAAUACCGGAUAACAACACUAGACGCAUGUCUAGAGUUUAAAAGAUGGUUCUGCUAUCACUCUUGGAUGGACCUGCGGUGCAUUAGCUAGUUGGUAAGGYAACGGCUUACCAAGGCAAUGAUGCAUAGCCGAGUUGAGAGACUGAUCGGCCACAUUGGGACUGAGACACGGCCCAAACUCCUACGGGAGGCAGCAGUAGGGAAUCUUCCACAAUGGACGCAAGUCUGAUGGAGCAACGCCGCGUGAGUGAAGAAGGGUUUCGGCUCGUAAAGCUCUGUUGGUAGUGAAGAAAGAUAGAGGUAGUAACUGGCCUUUAUUUGACGGUAAUUACUUAGAAAGU
rnacentral:rRNA from 1 species